AAGGCUUUAAGUUAAUUUAAAACUGUUAUCCUUCAAAGUUAAAAAUAUAAUUUUUAUAAGUCUUA
rnacentral:tRNA from 1 species